rnacentral:lncRNA from 1 species
CUGUGGAAGUGGACACAAGUCCUGCAAAACAGUUGUAACUGUUUAAGUGCUCACCCUCUUGGCUGAGCUCCACUUCUGGUUGGUCUUCGCUGAGGGUCUUCCAUCUACAGCUACCUGCUUAAAGCAGUGAUGUCGUUUCGUGCGAUAAGACUUUGCUAUGAUCUAUUUGUAGUAUCCCAAGUUGAAAUGCUGCUUUCCGUGCUUCAGGACAUGCAUAAUAGCCCCAAACAGAAAAUGGCGUCCUUCAUACUAGAGAGUUGUUGCUCAUUAGGAAGGGAACAUGCAAAGCACCUGCACCUGGGUGGUACACAGAAGCGGCAAAUCUCUCCCUGUUACAUACCAUUCAUGAGUUGGUCCCAUUUUACUAAUCAUAUGAUUCCAUACUACCUUAUAUAACACAGCCCUUAAUAUGGCAAGAUUCCAUCUAUCUUUGAAAGGUUUAAAGAAUAAGAAAAAAUAUUAGGAAAGUGUGUUUGACAUAGACAAUAUUUAAAUCAGUUGAUCCUUUAAGUUUUAGGGUGGGAGAAAUAGGAACAGAAAAUUAUCCUCCUUUCCUCCCUCCCUCCCUUCUUCCUUCUUCUUCUUUCCUUCCUUCCUUCCCUUUUUUCCUACCUUCCUAUUUUCUUUAAUGAUUUUAUGUUAAGAUUUGAUAAUGAGGGGCGGCCCCGUGGCCUAGCGGUGAAGAUCGCACACUCUGCUGCGGCGGCCCAGGGCUUCGCCAGUUUGCAUCCUGAGCACAGACAUGGCACCGCUCAUCAGACCAUG